CCUACGGGUGGCAGCAGUGGGGAAUAUUGGGCAAUGGGCGCAAGCCUGACCCAGCAACGCCGCGUGAAGGAAGAAGGCUUUCGGGUUGUAAACUUCUUUUCUCAGGGACGAAGAAAGUGACGGUACCUCAGGAAUAAGCCACGGCUAACUUCGUGACAGCCGCCGCGGUAAUACGUAGGUGGCAAGCGUUAUCCGGAUUUAGUGGGGGUAAGGGGCGUGUAGGCGGGAGCGCAAGUCAGAUGUGAAAACCAAGGGCUCAACACUGGCCCUGCAUUUGAAACUGUGUUUCUUGAGUGCUGGAGAGGCAAUCGGAAUGCCGGGUGUAGCGGUGAAAUGCGUAGAUAUACGGAGGAACACCAGUAGCGAAGGCGGAUUGCUGGACAGUAACUGACGCUGAGGCGCGAAAGCGUGGGGAGCAAACAGGAUUAGAUACCCUAGUAGUC
rnacentral:rRNA from 1 species